GCUUCUGUAGUUUAGUUGGUUAGAACAUUUGUCUCAUAUCGUUACGACGUGAGUCAUCAGAAGAUCGUGAGUUCGAACCUCACUAGAAGCA